UCUUGAUCUCCUGACCUUGUGAUCUGCCCGCCUCGGCCUCCCAAAGUGCUGGGAUUACAGGCAUGAGCCACCGCACCCGGCCUCUAAAUUCUUUACUAAUAGAAAAGGGUUGGCCAGCAACUGAACCAAAAAAAAGAAAGAUGAAAGCAACAUAACGUAUUAGUUUCCCACUGCUGCUGUAACACAUAACUACACACUUCCUGCUUUAAAACAAUGUAAGUUUAUUCUUUACAAUUCUGGAGGUCAGAAGUGUGAAAUGCGUCUCACAAGGUUAAAACCAAGAUGUUGGCAAGACUGGUUCCUUUUGAAGGCUUUAGGGGAUGUUUCCUUUUCUUGCCUUGUCCAGCUUCUAGAGUUGACUUUUCCUUUUUAAUUGCUUUACUCAUGGUCUCUUUAAAGCCAGCAGCCUCACAUCUUCACAUCUCUCUUCACUUUGGUUGUCACAUCCCCUGUGACAAUGUCCCGUAUAUAGACCCCUGUAAUUAUGUAUAAAUCUAUAGAGAUUUUCUGCUUCUCACUUUUUAUAGAAAGCAGUUACUGCAUCCAGAUUUGGGUAAAAUCCAGAACCAGCUGCUGUAAAUAAGGUCAUAAAGGAGGAUCUCUCACAGGUAAAAGGAGGCAGUAGAGUGUUAGUUCAUUGAAUGGACUUUGUUUAGAACCAGGUGGUUGAAAUUGUGUCCCCAUCACUUACUAGCCUUGUAUUUUAAACAAGUGACUUAACUCUUUUUACCUCAGUCUCCUUUUCUGUAAAAUAGUAUCUACUUUGCAGGAUUCUUUAAGGAUGAAUUGAAUUAAUAAAUGCAAAGUGUUUCCACAACACCUAGCAUGUAAUAAAUAAUUCUUAGUUAUUGCAAUGACAUUUCACUUAUUGGAUUCUGCUGAUGAUACAUUCAUGAUAAUCUCCAGACAAUAUUGAUCUCUUCUUUUCUCUGAGCUCUGGCAAUGUGUAAAACUUUAAUCAAACAGUUUAAUUUGGAUUUUCUUUUAUUGUUAGUUUAUAUUUCAUCUGUCUCUCUAUCUAUAUAUAUUUCCAACAAUAACUUUUUCUUUUUCUAAAUCAUAAGUCCCUCAAGGCCAUGGCUGUUUGUCUUUCACUUUUUUUUGUUGUUGUUGUUCUUUCCCAACCUUGACUUUUGAUUGCCUUGAUAAGUUAAUUCACAUAGAGACCUACACUUAAGUUUGUGCUUUGUAAGAAAGCUAUGUUUGUACAUUGAAGAAAAGCAUUGACCAAGCAAUUUAGUCAUGUAAGCAU
rnacentral:lncRNA from 10 species